rnacentral:snoRNA from 12 species
GUUUGAAUGAUGACUUGAAUUGUCGGAUACCCCUUCACUCCCUCUGAGUGAACAAUCACAGUCUGACAAAC